AGUUUCAUUUGGACAAGAUGAAAAAUAACAGGGUGAUCCCAUUAAUUUUUCAAUUUUCGUCGCAAGAUUGUGAGGUUGUUUUUGUCGUUUUUAAGGGUUUCUUUUGUGCAUUAAUUUCAUCAAUUUAUGCCUAUUUUUAAAUCAUUUUCCGAUUAAAUAAAUAAUAUUCUUUUUUCGAUUUAUUUAACUCAUUUCUGGCAUUUCUCGCAUUAAUGAUUUUUAAUGAGCUAGAGAACCUUUUCUUAAGAUAUUUAAUUAUCUUUUUCUUAUCGAAUCUGUUUGGCUAUUCUAUUUUGUUUUUUUAUUUAAUACCCUAUCUAGGAUUUUUUAAAUUUUAUUUUAUUGCGUAAAAAAUUGUAAGAAAAAAAUAGAAAAGAUUUUUAUCAGAAUCUAUCCCAAUAUCUACGGUUGAAAAAUUACAGCUAAAAAAAUAAGUUUUUUCUCAAGCGGCCAUGGCUCAUAUUUUAAUUCAUUCUAAAAAACCGAUUUGGAUGAAAAUUUUGUAGCAAAAAUCUACUUUGAAGAAAAAACAAAAUUUCUAAAAUGGUUUUCUUCGAAUUGGAUUAAUUGUCUUUGAGUUAGGUAUAGAGAAAAUUUUUAAAUAAACCUAAAUUCAAAUUAUCUCUCAUGACGUAAUACCUGGUUAAUUCCCUUAAAUACAAUAUCUAUUAUGAAAACUUUAAUGUCAUAGUUAAACAGCUUGUAGGAGCCAACAGAAAUGCGUGAAUUUUCAGUAAAAAAAACUUUUACUGUAAAAAACACACAUUUAAGGUUUAAAAGGGACAAAAAGGAUCUCUAGAAAAAGUAAUUAUUCUUUAUUUAAUUCUUAAACUUAUUAUUUCAUUACAAAAAAAAUUAUUUUAUUGCUUAUGCUGAAAUGGAAAAAUUUUCCUCAUUUCUAUAAUAAAAGUUACAAUAAGAGGAUCCUUCACGACAUCAAGAGCAUGUUUUCACGAACGAUUUCCUCAUUAAAUUGUUGCUAUGCUAUAUAUGUACUCUUGUUGUUGCUACUCUCAGAAUUUUCUCUUUUCCACGUGCAACUAAGAAUCACGAUUUCUGAGCUGCCUAAUGGGUCAAUUUUCAGUAUAAAUAAUGUUCCAUUCCCAACGUUAAAGCACAAGUAGUUCAAUCAGUUCAACGAGUCAUUAAAAUUACCGAAAAAGAUGAAACUCCUAAUCUUUGCUUUCUUCAUUGCCUUCGCUGUGGCCAGCGCUUUUGCUGCUCCUGAUGCUGCCCCAGAGCCACAGGGAGGUUAUUACCAGUACUACCAACCCUACCAGUACCAGUACUAUCAACCCUACCAGUACUAUCAACCCUACCAAUACUAUCAACCUUAUUAACAUGACCAACGUCUGGACUACCCGAUAAUGAAUGGUUUUCUAAACCCUUUUUCUACUAUUUCUACUACUUUAUUGAUUUUUCGUUCUAAAUGUAUCCGCAUAUUUAAUAAAAUAACUUCCUAAAGAA